UUCGGGUUGUAAACUGCUUUUGUACGGAACGAAAAGUCUUGGGNUAAUACCCUGGGAUCAUGACGGUACCGUAAGAAUAAGCACCGGCUAACUACGUGCCAGCAGCCGCGGUAAUACGUAGGGUGCAAGCGUUAAUCGGAAUUACUGGGCGUAAAGCGUGCGCAGGCGGUUUUGUAAGACAGUGGUGAAAUCCCCGGGCUCAACCUGGGAACUGCCAUUGUGACUGCAAGGCUGGAGUGCGGCAGAGGGGGAUGGAAUUCCGCGUGUAGCAGUGAAAUGCGUAGAUAUGCGGAGGAACACCGAUGGCGAAGGCAAUCCCCUGGGCCUGCACUGACGCUCAUGCACGAAAGCGUGGGGAGCAAACAGGAUUAGAUACCCUGGUAGUCCACGCCCUAAACGAUGUCAACUGGUUGUUGGGAAUUUAUUUUCUCAGUAACGAAGCUAACGCGUGAAGUUGACCGCCUGGGGA
rnacentral:rRNA from 1 species